GAGGGUAUAGCUCAGUGGUAGAGUGUAUGCUUAGCAUGCACGAGGUCCUAGGUUCACUCCCAAGUUCCUGGGUUCAGUCCCUAGUAUCUCCA
rnacentral:tRNA from 1 species